UACGUAGGGGGCAAGCGUUGUCCGGAUUUAUUGGGCGUAAAGAGCGUGUAGGCGGCCAGACAAGUCUGCUGUGAAAACUCGAGGCUCAACCUCGAGCUGUCGGUGGAAACUGUCCGGCUAGAGUCCGGAAGAGGAGAGUGGAAUUCCUGGUGUAGCGGUGAAAUGCGUAGAUAUUGGGAGGAACACCAGUGGCGAAGGCGGCUCACUGGACCGGUACUGACGCUGAUGCGCGAAAGCGUGGGGAGCAAACAGGG
rnacentral:rRNA from 1 species